rnacentral:rRNA from 1 species
CCUACGGGAGGCAGCAGUGAGGAAUAUUGGUCAAUGGACGAGAGUCUGAACCAGCCAAGUAGCGUGAAGGAUGACUGCCCUAUGGGUUGUAAACUUCUUUUAUAAAGGAAUAAAACGAGGCACGUGUGCCUUUUUGCAUGUACUUUAUGAAUAAGGAUCGGCUAACUCCGUGCCAGCAGCCGCGGUAAUACGGAGGAUCCGAGCGUUAUCCGGAUUUAUUGGGUUUAAAGGGAGCGUAGAUGGGUUGUUAAGUCAGUUGUGAAAGUUUGCGGCUCAACCGUAAAAUUGCAAUUGAUACUGGCAGUCGUGAGUACAGUUGAGGUAGGCGGAAUUCGUGGUGUAGCGGUGAAAUGCUUAGAUAGCACGAAGAACCCCGAUUGCGAAGGCAGCUUACUAAACUGUGACUGACAUUGAUGCUCGAAAGUGUGGGUAUCAAACAGGAUUAGAUACCCGAGUAGUC